UGACCAAUGAAAGGGUAGGAGUCCGGGCUACAGUGUUUGAAGAAAAUGAGAAUGAGAGAUAUUUCCUCAAUAGAUGAAACUAUUGGCCCCAGCUCCAAAUUCACACUUGUUGCAGCAGUUAAUUCUGCAAAAUCACAGAAGGAAAAAAAGUCAGGCCAAGUUACAGUAGUUUCCAGACAGCCACUUCUGUUCCUGUUCCAAAAACUAUGACUAACAUUUGUCUGUCUGGAUGGUAUCAUUAAAUGAAAGGACUAAUAGUCUCUAUGAUGCCACCUGAAUUUCUUAUCGUUGUUUAUUUGUUCUCUCAUGAAACAUGCAUCAUAUAUUUACCACAUGCUGAUUAUGUAGAAGAUAAAAAGAUGAAAAAGAGAACCCCAGAAUGAAUUUUCCCUCUCAGGAUGGUAUGACAUUAAACAAAACUAAUCACAAUGCAAAAGAGUAAGUGCAGUACUCAGCUUUCAAGAUGACCCUCAACGAUUGCCCCCUGGUUUUUACCCCUUUGUGUAGUCCCCUCCUGUGCUGAAUUGUGGCUGCCUGUGUUACCAAUAAAAUACCAACAAAAUGACAGGGAGUGACUUCUGAGAUUUAGUCAUAAAAAAUAUUCUAGGUUCUGCCUUGCUCUUUCUUGAAUCACCUGCUCUGGAGGAAGCCAGUUGCAUGGGAAGACAUCCAAGCAGCCAUGGGUUGUGUAGAGAGAAACUGAGGCCUGCCAUCAGUAGCCAGCAUCAGCCUGCCAGCCAUGCAAGGAGCCAGUGUGGAAGCCAAUAUUCCAGAGCCAGUCAAGCUGACUUCUUGACUGAAACUCCAGGAGAGACCCUGAAACAGAAGGACAAAACCACUCCUGAGUUCCUGACUGAUAGAAACUGGUAUAAAAUGGAAAGCAAUUGAGACUUUGUAAUCGAGGAAGUAACAAGUUCAGAGCUGCAUUGGGAGAUGACUGCAAUGACUGUAUAAGAUAAGGAUGAAUACCGAGGGUGUAUAACAAGAUCAGCGAGAAGAGGAUUGCCAUUGUUCCACCUGGACCAGAGCCUAGCGGGAGAAAAACAAGCAGGGCCAGGGUGCAACAGCGGCUGGACAGGGAGAAAGC
rnacentral:lncRNA from 10 species